AUUGAACGCUGGCGGCAGGCCUAACACAUGCAAGUCGAGCGGAUGAAGGGAGCUUGCUCCUGGAUUCAGCGGCGGACGGGUGAGUAAUGCCUAGGAAUCUGCCUGGUAGUGGGGGAUAACGUCCGGAAACGGGCGCUAAUACCGCAUACGUCCUGAGGGAGAAAGUGGGGGAUCUUCGGACCUCACGCUAUCGGAUAAGCCUAGGUCGGAUUAGUUAGUUGGUGGGGUAAAGGCCUACCAAGGCGACGAUCCGUAACUGGUCUGAGAGGAUGAUCAGUCACACUGGAACUGAGACACGGUCCAGACUCCUACGGGAGGCAGCAGUGGGGAAUAUUGGACAAUGGGCGAAAGCCUGAUCCAGCCAUGCCGCGUGUGUGAAGAAGGUCUUCGGAUCGUAAAGCACUUUAAGUUGGGAGGAAGGGCAGUAAGUUAAUACCUUGCUGUUUUGACGUUACCAACAGAAUAAGCACCGGCUAACUUCGUG
rnacentral:rRNA from 1 species